rnacentral:misc_RNA from 1 species
AACGCACAUUGCGCCCCUUGGUAUUCCGAGGGGCAUGCCUGUUCGAGCGUCAUUAUGACCACUCAAGCCUAGCUUGGUAUUGGGGUUCGUGGUACUGCGGCCCCUAAAAUCAGUGGCGGUGCCGUCUGGCUCUAAGCGUAGUAAUUUUUCUCGCUACAGGGCCUGGUGGUUGGUUUGCCAAAACCCCCAACUCUUACGGUUGACCUCGGAUCAGGUAGGGAUACCCGCUGAACUUAA